AUGCGAGUCGAGAGGGCUUAGACCCUCGGCAUACUGCUCAGUAACACGCGGACAAUCUGCCCUAAGGUGGGGAAUAAUCUCGGGAAACUGAGCAUAAUGCCCCAUAGGUCAUGGGUGCUGGAAUGCUUCAUGGUCAAAAGAUUUAUCGCCUUAGGAUGAGUCUGCGGCCUAUCAGGUCGUAGUGGGUGUAACGGACCCACUAGCCAGCGACGGGUACGGGCGUUGGGAGACGUCGCCCGGAGAUGGAUUCUGAGACACGAAUCCAGGCCCUACGGGGCGCAGCAGUCGCGAAAACUUCACAAUGUGGGAAACCACGAUGAGGGGAGUCCAAGUGCAUGCGCAUAGCGUAUGCUGUUCGAUUGCCUAAAAAGCAGCCGAAGGAAGGGCUGGGUAAGACAGGUGCCAGCCGCCGCGGUAAUACCUGCAGCCCGAGUGGUGGUCGAUAUUAUUGAGCCUAAAGCGUCCGUAGCCGGUCUAGUAAACCCUUGGGUAAAUCGGGCAGCUUAACUGUCCGAAUUCCGAGGGGACUGCUAGACUUGGGACCGGGAGAGGUCAGAGGUACUCCGGGGGUAGGGGCUAAAUCCUGUAAUCCUCGGGGGACCACCAGUGGCGAAGGCGUCUGACUAGAACGGAUCCGACGGUAAGGGACGAAACCCUGGGUCGCAAACCGGAUUAGAUACCCGGGUAGUCCAGGGCGUAAACGCUGCAGGCUUGGUGUUGGGGAUCCUACGGGGAUGCCCAGUGCCGGAGUGAAGAUGUUAAGCCUGCCGCUUGGGGAGUACGUCCGCAAGGAUGAACUUA
rnacentral:rRNA from 1 species